GAGUAGCAAUUUUGUACCACUUAACGCUGAAGUUACAAUAGUCCUCAUAUGGAAACUAAUCUCAAACAAUGGUGCUCGUCUCCAUCUUUGUUACACUGACAUGCUUACUAUCUGUUGUGGUCUGUAGGAGUGAUGUGGUAACAAUUUGGUCGGAUGGAGAAUAUAUCAGGGAGUAUAUUCUGAUAGAUUCUCCAGAUUAUGAAGCAGUUCCGAGUAUCUCGCCUGAAUACGAUAUGUCUGUCGCUAUAGGCAAUAUGAUGUGUAGUGCCUGCGAUUAUCUUCGGUUAAAAAGACAAAGAAGAAAGUGUGGGAAGAAAUUCUGCAUGAGAGUCAUCAGCUGAAAUACUUGUUGUACUUAGGAGGAGUGAGAAAAUAUGUACGGAAUGGCAAAUACCCUCCUCAUUAUUCCAUGUGUAAACUGAAGAUAUUAAACAUUUUGUUAUAUCCAUGUUGUUAAUGUUGAAGUAGUGUGUACUUAAUGUCCGUUUGUAUCUACGUCCAUGUGUAGAUGCUCGCCUGAUAACGGUAUACAACUCGUGACACUGUUUACGGUAUGUACUUCAUUAAUUCCUUGAAUUGUUGGCAUUGUACAACUCUUAUUGUGACUGUUUGUCUGUGUGAAUGGAGACAUUCAUUGUUUAUGUCAAUUUUCAUAUUAUAAUUAAAUUUUGUUUAAACCC